GGGCCAGAUAGAGAGAGGGUAGAAACGAAAAGGACACUUUUGCAAAUGAAGUUUUAUAACUUUGCCCGUCGAUUUGGAAGUCAGUGAAACAGUUGGGAGUGUGAGUGAGCUGCAGGGUUGUAAAAUGCGACAAAAUGGAACGAAAUUAAAUGCAUUUUGAAAAAUGAUAAAGUUGUUGCCGACGUGGCCGACAGACAUAGCAUUUAAAAAAGUGUCUAGAAAUGCAGAAGCAGUAGGCAAAAAAAGCAGAUAUAAAGUAAUUGUCAUAGUGAAGGUACUCCAUUGAGCCAUACAUAUACUUUAACUUUUUACCUCUGAACGGCACUUCCCACCUACCAUUCAAGUGCGACAUUUGCAAUGCAUAUACAACGGCAUUGUACUUACCUGAAAGAGAAAUAAGACAUUUAUAAUUAGAAUAGAAGAAGUAAAGAAUUUCUUUGUGACUCUUAUAAGUUUAUACAUUAAAAUCGUGUGGAAGGGAGCGGGAGCUAAGGGUUGACGCUGGCUGCCAGGACUGUCGUGCUUUUCAAUUCAAGCGUCAAGAAUAUAUUCACGCAAAUAGCGCCAGCAAAUUAACAUGAAAAACUGAAAAAACAUUUUUCGCAAAGCAAAAAUAAUUAUGUAUAUAUGUAAGCAUGUAUGU